rnacentral:rRNA from 1 species
UAGGGAAUCUUCGGCAAUGGACGGAAGUCUGACCGAGCAACGCCGCGUGAGUGAAGAAGGUUUUCGGAUCGUAAAGCUCUGUUGUAAGAGAAGAACGAGUGUGAGAGUGGAAAGUUCACACUGUGACGGUAACUUACCAGAAAGGGACGGCUAACUACGUGCCAGCAGCCGUGGUAAUACGUAGGUCCCGAGCGUUAUCCGGAUUUAUUGGGCGUAAAGCGAGCGCAGGCGGUUAGAUAAGUCUGAAGUUAAAGGCUGUGGCUUAACCAUAGUACGCUUUGGAAACUGUUUAACUUGAGUGCAGAAGGGGAGAGUGGAAUUCCAUGUGUAGCGGUGAAAUGCGUAGAUAUAUGGAGGAACACCGGUGGCGAAAGCGGCUCUCUGGUCUGUAACUGACGCUGAGGCUCGAAAGCGUGGGGAGCAAACAGGAUUAGAUACCCUGGUAGUCCACGCCGUAACGAUGAGUGCUAGGUGUUGGGUCCUUUCCGGGACUCAGUGCCGCAGCUAACGCAUUAAGCACUCCGCCUGGGGAGUACGACCGCAAGGUU